rnacentral:rRNA from 1 species
UGAGAUGUUGGGUUAAGUCCCGCAACGAGCGCAACCCUUGUCAUUAGUUGCUACAUUCAGUUGAGCACUCUAAUGAGACUGCCGGUGACAAACCGGAGGAAGGUGGGGAUGACGUCAAGUCCUCAUGGCCCUUAUGGGUAGGGCUUCACACGUCAUACAAUGGUACAUACAGAGGGCCGCCAACCCGCGAGGGGGAGCUAAUCCCAGAAAGUGUAUCGUAGUCCGGAUCGUAGUCUGCAACUCGACUACGUGAAGUUGGAAUCGCUAGUAAUCGCGGAUCAGCAUGCCGCGGUGAAUACGUUCCCGGGUCUUGUACACACCGCCCGUCACACCAUGGGAGCGGGUUUUACCAGAAGUAGGUAGCUUAACCGUAAGGAGGGCGCUUACCACGGUAGGAUUCGUGACUGGGGUGAAGUCGUAACAAGGUAGCCGUAUCGGAAGGUGCGGCUGGAUCACCUCCUUUCUAG